AGUAUUACACCGACGGAGCGGAUUACAUUGAUGUUGUAAAUAGAAGAAUUUUUAUUCUUUAAUACUU
rnacentral:tRNA from 1 species